UGAAAACUACUUCCCUGCAAUUUACAUCCAUUGGUUCUUGUCUUCCCCUCUGCAGCAAGAGAAUAAAUCUGUUCAGAUAUAUAAAGAUGGCUACCACACCUCCCCUUAACCUUCUGUUCUUCAAGCUAAACAUGCCCAGCUCUUUCAAGCA